GACGAACGCUGGCGGCGUGCUUAACACAUGCAAGUCGAGCGGAGCGGCGGACGGGUGAGUAGCUCGUGAGUAUCUGCCACCCUCUCUGGGAUAACAGUUGAAAACGGGUGCUGAUACCGGAUAGUGGGGGAUGGCUCGCGUCCUAUCAGAUUGUUGGUUGGGUCGUGGCCUACCAAGGCGACGACGGGUAGCCGGCCUGAGCGGGCGACCGGCCACAUUGGGCUGAGAUACGGCACAGAGGCAUACGGGAGGAAGCAGUGGGGAAUAGUGCACAAUGGGCGCAAGCCUGAACCAGCAACGCCGCUUGAAGGAAGACGGUCUUCGGAUUGUAAACUUUUUUAGAAAGGGACGCGGUACCUGUAGAAUAAGCCACGGCUAACUACGUGCCAGCAGCCGCGGUAAUUC
rnacentral:rRNA from 1 species